UGAAGACUCAUUUCCAAAGCAACGUUCGGUC
rnacentral:piRNA from 1 species